UACGUAGGGUGCGAGCGUUAAUCGGAAUUACUGGGCGUAAAGUGUGCGCAGGCGGCCGAGCAAGUCGAGUGUGAAAAGCCCCCGGGCUUAACUUGGGAAUUGCGCUCGAAACUACUUGGCUAGAGUGUGGCAGAGGAAGGUGGAAUUCCACGUGUAGCGGUGAAAUGCGUAGAGAUGUGGAGGAACACCGAUGGCGAAGGCAGCCUUCUGGGCCAACACUGACGCUCAUGCACGAAAGCGUGGGGAGCAAACAGG
rnacentral:rRNA from 1 species